rnacentral:rRNA from 1 species
AAAUUGAAGAGUUUGAUCAUGGCUCAGAUUGAACGCUGGCGGCAGGCCUAACACAUGCAAGUCGAACGGUAGCACAGAGAGCUUGCUCUCGGGUGACGAGUGGCGGACGGGUGAGUAAUGUCUGGGAAACUGCCUGAUGGAGGGGGAUAACUACUGGAAACGGUGGCUAAUACCGCAUAACGUCGCAAGACCAAAGAGGGGGACCUUCGGGCCUCUUGCCAUCAGAUGUGCCCAGAUGGGAUUAGCUUGUUGGUGAGGUAACGGCUCACCAAGGCGACGAUCCCUAGCUGGUCUGAGAGGAUGACCAGCCACACUGGAACUGAGACACGGUCCAGACUCCUACGGGAGGCAGCAGUGGGGAAUAUUGCACAAUGGGCGCAAGCCUGAUGCAGCCAUGCCGCGUGUAUGAAGA